UCCUCAAUAGCUCAGUGAUAGAGCGGUCGGCUGUUAACAGAUUAGUCAUAGGUUCGAAUCCUAACAGAGAAU
rnacentral:tRNA from 1 species